UACGAAGGGGGCUAGCGUUGCUCGGAAUCACUGGGCGUAAAGCGCACGUAGGCGGCUUUUUAAGUCAGGGGUGAAAUCCUGGAGCUCAACUCCAGAACUGCCUUUGAUACUGAGAAGCUUGAGUCCGGGAGAGGUGAGUGGAACUGCGAGUGUAGAGGUGAAAUUCGUAGAUAUUCGGAAGAACACCAGUGGCGAAGGCGACUUACUGGACGAUUGUUGACGCUGAGGUGCGAAAGCGUGGGGAGCAAACAGG
rnacentral:rRNA from 1 species